AGGAAGGAGAAAGACAAAGAUGGCGAGCACGCCAUGUUAGAGAAGGAAAGCCAGGCCGGCUAAGAACAUCCUAACGUAUUGGCUCAAAGCAUCUAUUUCUCAUUUUCCCCCUUUGAACCCACCACACAUAAAAGCCCUGAUUGACAAGGAAGAGCAGAAAGCGCACCGCUCCUGAUCUGCAUCCAUUACAGAGCUCAGUCUGGUGUGAGCAUUCAUGCCUACAGCACUGCCCAGCGGCUUCCUGCUCUGCACCAGGCGCCUGCCCUCUGCUCACACUCCGGCACCUUCAUCGGUUCUCUGCCUGCAUAUCAAGCAUGAGGAGCUGGCUUCAAUGGCUCCAGAGAAUAAACUCAGGUUUAAUCAACUUGAUACCUGUUUUUAUUAUGGCAACCUGUAACCUAGAUGUGUCUAUAAAGCCACCCAUUUUAAAGGUGGAUUUGUCAUUGCUCUUGUCAAGUUAAUAAAAUUAACAAUUAAGGCUG